CCCUUAGAUGUUCUGGGCCGCACGCGCGCUACACUGACGAUGGCAACGAGUUUUUCCUUCGCCGAAAGGUGUGGGUAAUCUUUUGAAACAUCGUCGUGCUGGGGAUAGAUCAUUGCAAUUUUUGAUCUUGAACGAGGAAUUCCUAGUAAGCGCGAGUCAUCAGCUCGCGUUGAUUACGUCCCUGCCCUUUGUACACACCGCCCGUCGCUACUACCGAUUGAAUGGUUUAGUGAGGACUCCUAAUUGGCGCCGCCGCCCCGGCAACGGAGCAGCGGACUGCCGAAAAGUUGUUCAAACUUGAUCAUUUAGAGGAAGUAAAAGUCGUAACA
rnacentral:rRNA from 1 species